UUUAUGGAGAGUUUGAUCCUGGCUCAGGAUGAACGCUGGCGGCGUGCCUAAUACAUGCAAGUCGAGCGAACAGAUAAGGAGCUUGCUCCUUUGACGUUAGCGGCGGACGGGUGAGUAACACGUGGGUAACCUACCUAUAAGACUGGAAUAACUCCGGGAAACCGGGGCUAAUGCCGGAUAACAUGUUGAACCGCAUGGUUCUACAGUGAAAGACGGUCUUGCUGUCACUUAUAGAUGGACCCGCGCCGUAUUAGCUAGUUGGUGGGGUAACGGC
rnacentral:rRNA from 1 species